AACGUAGGAGCCUAGCGUUAUCCGAAUUCACUGGGCGUAAAGCGCGUGCAGGCGGCCGGCCAAGUUGGAUGUGAAAUCUCCUGGCUCAACUGGGAGAGGUCGUUCAAGACUGGCUGGCUAGAGGACGGUAGAGGGAGGUAGAAUUCCCGGUGUAGUGGUGAAAUGCGUAGAUAUCGGGAGGAAUACCAGUGGCGAAGGCGGCCUCCUGGACCGUUACUGACGCUCAGACGCGAAAGCUAGGGGAG
rnacentral:rRNA from 1 species